AGAGUUUGAUCCUGGCUCAGAUUGAACGCUGGCGGCAGGCCUAACACAUGCAAGUCGAGCGGUAACAGAGGGUAGCUUGCUACUUUGCUGACGAGCGGCGGACGGGUGAGUAAUGCUUGGGAACAUGCCUUGAGGUGGGGGACAACAGUUGGAAACGACUGCUAAUACCGCAUAAUGUCUACGGACCAAAGGGGGCUUCGGCUCUCGCCUUUAGAUUGGCCCAAGUGGGAUUAGCUAGUUGGUGAGGUAAUGGCUCACCAAGGCGACGAUCCCUACUGGUUUGAGAAGAUGAUCAGCCCCACUGGGGACUGAGACACGGCG
rnacentral:rRNA from 1 species